GCUUUCUCUGUCUUUUCAAUUCUAAUGUAUGAUUUUUGGAUUUGCCGAAAUGGGUCUUUUCUAUUUUUCCAUUUUACUCUCUCACUCGAUUUUAUACUUGGGCUGGAUAAUUUUUAUCUUUCCGGUUUGGGAAUCGAAGAAUAUUUAUAUACUACCACUUUUUACCGUCUUGAUUCUUGAAAUGACUCCUUGAAUCUCCUUUCUUGAAUCUUGGUUACAUUUUUCGAUGUUUUCUUGUAAAAUAGAGGGAUUUAGAUGGAUCUUAUAAUAAUUGUAUUGCAUUUCAAUAGUUGCUUGGCUAAGAGUAAAUGUUCUGAUUGAGGAAUUUUAAUGUUUCUUGCUGCGUAUUGGGAAUGGUUCAGCUGUCAGGCUGAGUAAUGACUUAGCAAUCGUGGAAUUGAGGGGUUUGCUGCUGUUACUGUUUGUUAUCCAAUGAUUGAUCACCCUAGCUCUGGCAUAUUACAUGUGUUCUUUGUCUAUCCUAGCUCUGGCAUAUUACAUGUGUUCUUUGUCUAUCCUAGCUCUGGCAUAUUACAUGUGUUCUUUGUCUAUCCUAGCUCUCUAGGAAUACCCUUAUUAUGAUUUCUGUUGACAAUCAGAAGUUGAUAUGAGGCAAUAGAGUUUCGUAGAUGUUUGAGUGUGACUUGUAUAUUUGACUUUGAGCAGUUGCAUUUCUUUUAUCUAAGUGGGUGAUGACAUAUCAGUUUGUCCAUGGUGUCAAUGUUCAAACAUGCCAAAUAGAGAAUUAGCAUAUUGCGCUGAUAAGUCUGAUGUUUCAUAGCAAAAUGGUUUUCCCUGGUGGCCCACCCCUCCCUCUAAACUGAAUUUCUACAGUGAUAUGGCAUCACCAUUUGGAUUAGCUUGCAACUGAGGUUCUCAUAGAUCAUUAACUAAAAAAAAAGGGGGAUUCUGGAGGUUUCUCAGAGUUUCAAGUUUAUACUAGCUAGACCAAUCAAUUUGUGAAAGCCUAUGCAACACAGGCUCAUUGUUUGAGUUAUGGAUGUAUAUAUUAUGCAAAGGAGCACCUGAUUCUCGCCUAUUGAGACUCUGUACUUACUUUCAUUACACAUCCUUCAGGUCUCAAAUAACUGAAAAACUGUCAAAUAGCUUUGGUAAUUAAUUGUUUCAAAUUUUUAGAUGGCCUUUUACGAAACCAAGAUCCAGAUAUUGGCAGUUAAAUUGUCUGAAGUACUGGAUGAAAUUUAUUUGACACUUUUUUUUUUGGUUGUUUGGCAUACAACCGGUAACAUCAACAUCUUAAUGAACAGAAAAUACAAUUUACAGGCUUUGUCGGGGUUUUUGCUUACUGUCACUAGUUUCAGCUAUUGGGUUAAGGUGCAGGUUGAAAACAAUUUAAAUUUGAUUAACUGUGAGGCUAAAGUGUUGGAAAGAAAUAUUUUUUAUCUGCCUUCUGGGGUCCUGCAAAUCAUGUAUACCAGUGUCUCUUUUGGCAUAUAUUUCCUUUCAGUUACCGGAGACUUGGCUACCAUCAAGUUAAUUGUGCAGUUUGUUUCUUCUGGUUUAUGACAUUAAUUGAUGCUAGGAUGUAAUUGAACAAGGUGAUGGAAGGAUCAAAAGAUUGUGCUGUGUACAUAUUCUUUUUAUCUGAAAUAGGAAAAUGUAGAUGAUUGUCAUUAUAUUGACAUAGUGAAACUUUUAAAUUGAUUCAGAAAAGAUGACUAUAUUAUGUCAUCAUGGGCUUAGCACUCUGCUCUGUUGUUUUUCUCUCUAGAAGUGUCAUAAAUGGUGCACAUGACUGUCAUAUGCUUCCCCUGCUCUCUUGUCUUGCAUUUGCUUCAACAACUUUAUUUAUAUUUUUUACAGCUGUUUGAUGUGUCUACUUAAAUUUCUGUUUUGUUUUGUGCAUUUCAUGGUGUUAAAUUUAUUGUACUAUAAGUAUGUGGAGGCACAGGCUCUACCUGCUGUGCCGAUGCUCUUUGUUGUUAAUGUGAAAUUGAUAAGGAGUGUUAUUCCUUUUCUAUUCACUUGAGAAAUUGUGUUAUUUCAAUGAGAUGGGAUGAACUCUACUCACUUCAGUUGCUUUUUCCGGCAUAUGGUGGGUGUUUGAAUCAAUCUUCUGAUAUUGCUUUAUGACUGGUGCUUGCUAUAGUCACUUGAAGGCACUAUAAUUACAGUUCCUUACAAGUUCCAAACUGUUUAGUAUGUUCACUUAUUGCCUGAAUAAAUUAUUUGACCUUUAUGAUUUACUAAUUAUUUCAUGAUUAUAGCAAUUAAAAAUGAUUAGUGCAGUUAAGACUCAGAAAGUAUUUUGUUACUUUAGAGAAGAAAAUACAUUAUUCAAAUGGUGACAAGCCUUUUUAAGUGAUUAUGUACUGUCGAGGAUAUUUACUUAAUGUAUUAUCUUGUAUCUUUGUAAAUUAACUAACUGAUCCAUAGCGGUGAUGUUUUUAGGAUUAUGAACUAUUAAGUGUUUGUAUCUAAUGCGCCAUAAACUUUAUCUUAUCAAUUGGUAACUUGAAAACACCUAGAACUGCAGUAUCUUCAAGUAAACUUAGAAAUGGCCUUGCCAGAUGUCCACUUUCACUGCUAUCUGUAGGUGAUACCUGGAAAUUCUAGCCACUAUGGUACAUAGAAUUUUUUUUAAUCCAUUCCAAUUCAGUAUAGUUAUCAGUUCUUUUUGAAAGAUCAAACUAAUGAGUUGGUUUAGAUGUCACAUUACUCGUAAAUUUGUUAAGCACCCUUUUUGGACUUGACACGAAUGGGUGGGUGGAUAUUGUAUGUGCUACUGUGAUGGUUGAACAUGGUUGAAGGUAAUAUAGUCCAAUCAAAUUUAUGUACAUUGCCUAGUGAAUCAUCCAUGUUGGAGAUGCUGUGUUAAGGCUGUACUUCAUAUUACACAUUUCUUCUUAUGUUUUGAUGGUUCUAGUAUGAUCUUUUCAUCUUAUUGGGGAUAAAUGCAUUCAAAACCUUUCUGCACACUAGUACUGAAUUCUCAAAUCCUCGGAUAUAAAUAUUUGGAGCUAUGUGAUUAAUGUUCUCCAUUGAUAAUUGUUUCAUGGUUAUAUGCUGUAGAAAUUCCGAAUCCUCCAGAUUUGAUUACAGAACUUGUCAUCAACUACUAAGCAGUAGGCAGUGCACUAGCACCUCUCAUGGCAAUUCUUUUAGGUGCACACUUCAUGGAUGCCUUGGUUGGGAGUAUCAUCAGAUGCAAUGCUGCACCAAGCAGGGAGUAUGGAGUGAUUAUUACCCAUGAGAGCUUUAUGAUGACGUGGGACAAGUGAAAUCAUCUCGUACACGCUCUCACAACCAUCUCCCAAAAUUGGUGUUUAGGUGUAGCUUGUUGAUCUGUUCUGUACCCUUGGUAGUCUAUGUUUGGAAUAAUAUUUCUACAUGUAUAUGGUUACUAGCUGCAACAUUUGGUGCGACUUCUUUGUGUAAAUGUUAGAUUUGUGGGAUGGGGAUGUUCGUGUAGUUUUCCAGCUAAAUUGCUUGAUUAGUAGUUCUCAGGA